rnacentral:rRNA from 1 species
AUUGAACGCUGGCGGCAUGCCUUACACAUGCAAGUCGAACGGUAACAGGUCUUCGGAUGCUGACGAGUGGCGAACGGGUGAGUAAUACAUCGGAACGUGCCUAGUAGUGGGGGAUAACUACUCGAAAGAGUGGCUAAUACCGCAUGAGAUCUACGGAUGAAAGCAGGGGAUCGCAAGACCUUGUGCUACUAGAGCGGCCGAUGGCAGAUUAGGUAGUUGGUGGGAUAAAAGCUGACCAAGCCGACGAUCUGUAGCUGGUCUGAGAGGACGAUCAGCCACACUGGGACUGAGACACGGCCCAGACCCCUACGGGAGGCAGCAAUGGGGAAUUUUGGACAAUGGGCGAAAGCCUGAUCCAGCAAUGCCGCGUGCAGGAUGAAGGCCUUCGGGUUGUAAACUGCUUUUGUACGGAACGAAAAGCCCCGGGUUAAUACCCUGGGGUCAUGACGGUACCGUAAGAAUAAGCACCGGCUAACUACGUGCCAGCAGCCGCCGUAA